GCCUCCCAUCUCUCCCUCCUUCCUGUGCAGGCUUGGCGAAGCCCUACAGGAUUUCUCCUCCACCACCAUCACCACACCGUCGUGCUGCUGGGAUUCCGAGGGGAUCUACUACAUCCGCUACCCCGCUGGAACGGGGAGAGGGCGUCAUCAUCGACACCGUACGUGUGACCGAGUACGGAGUACGGAAGUGCUGCCCGAUCGCAACACUGGAAAGGACUGCAACACGAACCUGAGUUUGUCAAGUAUACAUCUACAUCAACCACGAGAUCUGGUCUCGUUACUACUUUGGAUCUACGAGGGUUAGUUUCUCAUCUUUCUCGUUGCAUAGAUCUCAUAGAUUGGAUCUUGUCUUUUCCAUAGAUUGGAUCUUGGUUUUAUUCGUUCUUGCGGUAGAAUUUUUUUGUUUUCUAUGCUACGAACCCUACAACCACGAGAUAAAAAUCAGCAAGCAAAAUCAUCAUCCCCUUGAAGGCUCGGUCUGCCAUUACUAUGCCAUCAAGGGCACGCUAUACGGCCUUGUUUGGCAGAAGAAAAAAAAGGGUUUGAGAUUCAAGAAAUCGAGAGAUUCUCGAUGGCCAUAUUCAUCAUGACGCCUACCAGCAAAAGGGAACAAUGCCAUGUAAGUUCAACUCCAAAGCUUAGAAACGUACAUUAAUAUGCUUUACUUGUUGAUUUUGUUGAUCCAAUCAUAAACUAUGUAAUAUUGUGCUAAAUUAUGAAUUACCACAUUUGUGAACUCUCUCACAAAAUGGUGGAUACAAGGAAACAUAUUUAAUAUCUUCUUGUUUACGGACUAUUGAAGCUACCUUUAGUCUUGCCUUGACACUUCUACGUACACUUGAGAGAUGUUUUUCUAGAAUGAGAAUUGUGAAGAUAUACUUGCGCAAUCAUCUCAGUGACGAGGAGAGUUACCAGGGAGUCAUUGAUCGCUUUGAGAUCCUACAAAGCCAUCCAAAAAUGUAUUACUCAUAAAUUUAUGCUGCAUAGUUACACACAUUUAUUUUGAACGCCACUAAUUUUUUUUAUAGGAAAUCGAGAUCUAUGUCUCAUUUCCCCCUCGGCAAUCAUAUAUAUUUUCAUAAUUUGGAGUUUUGGAAUGCUUUAUUGCACAAGUUUAUGAUGGCAUGAUAUAUCGAGGGAAAUGCUUUAUUUUUGUAAGCACUUUUUUACCAUUAGAUACUAUAAAUUGUGAA